CCUACGGGUGGCAGCAGUGGGGGCUAUUGCACAAUGGGGGAAACCCUGAUGCAGCGACGCCGCGUGAAUGAAGAAGUAUUUCGGUCUGUAAAGCUCUAUCUGCAGGGAAGCAAAUGCCAGUACCUGACCAAGAAGCCCCGGCUAACUACGUCCCAGCAGCCGCGGUAAUACGUAGGGGGCAAUCGUUAUCCGGAUUUACUGGGUGUAAAGGGAGCGUAGACGGGUAUGUAAGUCUGGAGUGAAAGCCCGGGGCCCAACCCCGGGACUGCGUUUGAAACUGUGUAACUUGAGUACAGGAGGGGCAGGCGGAAUUCCUGGUGUAGCGGUGAAAUGCGUAGAUAUCAGGAGGAACACCGGCGGCGAAGGCGGCCUGCUGGACUGAAACUGACGUUGAGGCUCGAAAGCGUGGGGAGCAAACAGGAUUAGAUACCCGGGUAGUC
rnacentral:rRNA from 1 species